UACGGAGGAUGCAAGCGUUAUCCGGAAUGAUUGGGCGUAAAGCGUCCGCAGGUGGCUGUGUAAGUCUGCUGUUAAAGAGUGAGGCUCAACCUCAUAAAAGCAGUGGAAACUACACGGCUAGAGUGCGUUCGGGGCAGAGGGAAUUCCUGGUGUAGCGGUGAAAUGCGUAGAUAUCAGGAAGAACACCGGUGGCGAAAGCGGCUCUCUGGAACGCAACUGACGCUGAGACGCGAAAGCGUGGGGAGCAAACAGG
rnacentral:rRNA from 1 species